UCGUCCUGUGACUGCCCGAUUCUAUCAGAUCUUGGAAGCUAAGCAGGACCGGGCCUAGUCAGUACUAUGACUGGAGACUGCCUUGGAAAACCAGA
rnacentral:rRNA from 12 species